UCAGCUUCAUGACCUCCUCUGGAUUUGCUCCAGCAGUUUUUUGUCCUUCUUAGCCUUGAAAGGCUAAGGAGUAUUAGAGAAAGUGAAAGGAAAUAGAUUAGUGGAGUUCCACCCUUCAAUCCUUGAGGAAGGCCCACCAGGAGUCAGGGGACUUCCAUGCCUCUCACUGUCAGGCAGUUGGAGGACCUGGUGGAUGAAGGGGAGUGGAAAUGGGUCCCUACUUAAGGAUGUAAUAAAAGUUCCUCCUGACCCCCACCAUCUGUCCAGGUGCCACUUCAGAAUAGACCUACUUGUCAGACUGUGUCCUUACAGCAAGGAUUUCCAAAGUGAGUGACUGCUUUCUACUGCCAGGAUGUGACCCAGUUCAUGAAGAAGUACUAUUCCUACUGUUAGAAGUGCCUACAUUAUUUCAAUUCAUGACAGCAAGCACUGAGUGUUCAGCCAGCUCACAGAAGUGCUCUUCAUGUACCAAGAAGGAGAUGGGAUCUAGCUGGGGAGCACCAGGCAGAUAAACCAGAAGGCAGAAGUCAGCUUCCACUGAGUGCUCUUCUGAGCAAGGGCAGCAUGAAGCUCGCCCAGCACUGGCCCUUAGGCAUGGUAAGCCUACUCUGAUGGCAGACAGCCUCCCCAAAAUCGACUUCUUGACACAGGAGAGGUCAAUCACUAGCUGUUCUUAGCCACCAACUCAUAUGAGCAAGGAAAACAUACAACAAACAGUUAUUCUUCAGAAGUAUUUUCAAGGGUUAGAUUCUCCCACUCACCCACAACAGGUAAGCUGUCAGAAAACCUCUAUUCUCCUAAGCCAUCAGCUGCUUCUCAUCAUUACACCUUUUACCUGUGAGAAGGUAUUUCUAUUUAUUAGGAGGCUCAGGGGAAGAGAGGGCCUCUCCAUGUUAGUAGCUUGCAUUUUUUGGAUGAUGGAUACAGAUAUAGGGCUUCUGUCAUGCUCCACAGUUCUUACCAGAGUGAGGGGCAGAGUGACACUGCUUUCUACCUUGUUUUUCUAAGGCAAGUUAUUAACACAUUUUACUUCUAUUAAUCUCUAAUACCAUUGCACUUAACAAGAUUUUAGGAAGCUUGUUUCACAAUGAGCUUGUUUUCUGUCAAUUAUUAGGUCAAUUUCAGGCUAAUAUGAGAUAUCCCUCACGCAAUAUAAAAUUGGAUCAUAUUUAUAAACAAAGAAAAGGACAAAAGGUGAGAGGGUAGGGAAAUACUCUCUUAAGCAAGUCAGCCUUGUUAACGAAGUUUCAUUUCUGAAAAUAAUAGUCAUUUUUAUGUUACAGAUGCAGAUAUGGUUCUCCAUUACAGAGGAGGAAAGAGUCAUCUGUAAGGAAAUUGCUGAACCUAGACAGGGUCUUACAUGUAAAAUGUAGUUAAUCUGGUUUGUUUUCUCUGUCUGUAAAUCAAUAUACUUGCAUUGGUUAAUAUCUUGGUUCUUGAUAUAUUGUCUCAAACAAUGCUCUCAUUAAAGAGCAUUUCCAUUGAGUUAGGUUUGAGUGUAUAUUAAUUUGCUUAUCUCUAUAUAUUAUCUUAUAGCUAGCUCCUUUGUAGCUAGUAUUAUAAAUGUUAAAUGGAAGAUAAUUCAAGUAUUUACAUUCAACCCUUCUUUCUCCACUACCAUGUUCUUAUUUACAGUGUAAUAAAAUAAUGGCAUAAAUAUUGAGGAAUUAUUUUUAUAGAGGUUUUUUUCUAUUUACUUGGUAUUUUUAAAUGGCUUGCCCACCUGCCUUCCGUUUAUACAUAGUCAUUUUGGCUGAUUACUUAAUAUACUGUACUACAUUUAUAAAAAAACUCUCUGGUAACCAUAGUAACUAUUUUUGAUUAGGUACAGCUGAGCACACGGUUUCAUUUUAAUAUAGGUGGAAAAAAAUAGAAAAAUUAUCUUGAAAGCUCCUGAAAUCAUUUGGGUUAUUAUUGGCUUUCAUUUAAGGCUCAACAGAGAAAGAACUGCUCAUAGGCUCUCUUUCUUGCUUCUAAUGAUGGUUUGUUUGUUUUUUUCUUUUCUCCUUUUUUAAACUUAGUAGGUGUGGGCUGUAAAGGAUUUAUAUAAAAGUUUUUGGAGGUAUUCCAAGGGCAGCUUGUCUUCCUGAAGAUAAAAAUCUAUUUAUGAUAAGAUUUACCUAACCAGGAAUAACACUGCAACAUUCUUGUCUUCUCUAUUACACCAGAGGGAGCAUGGCCUUCUAUAAUCCAAUUUCCCUUACACCCUGUGAUGGCUUGGCCCAAAAUCUUUACAAGGCAGUGUAGACUGGGCUGUAACAAUUCAAAGAAGAGCAAAGAUGGCCAGAGGAAGAAGUAUGAGUCUCACUUACCUCUCCCUUUAGCUUUAUGGAGAUUUUGAAGACUAUUUCCUGAUGUCCAGGCAGUUACCAACCUGAAAUGCAGCCAGGAUAGGAAGUUACCAUGACUGAAGCCCACCCUCAUGUAACCCUGUACACAGCAAUCCAAAAUGAGACACUUUGAGUUCUCCUGGAGCAGCAUCUGUGAGCAGCAGCUCCCCUCUGUGUGGGGCCUCUAAGAGUCAGUGAACUCUCAAGUUUGCUCUACCUAAAGGAUCACUGAAUGAUGAUGCUGGAACCUGGCCUAAUACCCCCGACAGCUUGAAGUCCAACCCUUUGCUCACUGAGAAGAUUCAGAGGCACCCAAAGUGAGUAUUUCACCAAGUCUGAGGGGAAUUUUUCACAGGUAUAUACCUUGUACAGAUUGUGUCUGUGGGCAACUGUGAAUAUGCUGAAAAGGAUGUACUAAGAAUAUUUUACUAGAUUCUUAA